GUAGGGAGCGAGCGUUGUCCGGAAUUACUGGGUGUAAAGGGAGCGUAGGCGGGAUGGCAAGUCAGAUGUGAAAACUAUGGGCUCAACCCAUAGACUGCAUUUGAAACUGUUGUUCUUGAGUGAGGUAGAGGUAAGCGGNAUUCCUGGUGUAGCGGUGAAAUGCGUAGAGAUCAGGAGGAACAUCGGUGGCGNAGGCGGCUUACUGGGCCUUUACUGACGCUGAGGCUCGANAGCGUGGGGAGCANACAGGAUUAGAUACCCUGGUAGUCCACGCCGUANACGAUGAUUACUAGGUGUGGGGGGACUGACCCCUUCCGUGCCGCNGUUAACACAAUNAGUNAUCCACCAGGGGAGU
rnacentral:rRNA from 1 species